rnacentral:rRNA from 1 species
GACGAACCGUACGAACGUUAUUCGGAAUCACUGGGCUUAAAGGGUGCGUAGGCGGCGCAGUAAGUUGGGUGUGAAAUCCCUCGGCUUAACCGAGGAAUUGCGCCCCAAAACUACUGUGCUCGAGGGAGGUAGAGGUGAGCGGAACUUAGGGUGGAGCGGUGAAAUGCGUUGAUAUCCUAAGGAACACCGGUGGCGAAAGCGGCUCACUGGACCUCUUCUGACGCUGAGGCACGAAAGCUAGGGUAGCAAACGGG